rnacentral:rRNA from 1 species
UACAGAGGUCUCAAGCGUUGUUCGGAUUCAUUGGGCGUAAAGGGUGCGUAGGUGGCGCGCUAAGUCAGGUGUGAAAUCUCGGGGCUUAACUCCGAAACUGCAUUUGAUACUGGCGUGCUUGAGGACUGGAGAGGAGACUGGAAUUCAUGGUGUAGCAGUGAAAUGCGUAGAGAUCAUGAGGAACACCUGAGGUGAAGACGGGUUGCUGGGCUGACACUGACGCUGAGGCGCGAAAGCCAGGGGAGCAAACGGG